AUUGAACGCUGGCGGCAUGCUUUACACAUGCAAGUCGAACGGUAGCAGGCCGCAAGGUGCUGACGAGUGGCGAACGGGUGAGUAAUGUAUCGGAACGUGCCCAGUCGUGGGGGAUAACGCGGCGAAAGCUGUGCUAAUACCGCAUACGAUCUAUGGAUGAAAGCGGGGGACCGUAAGGCCUCGCGCGAUUGGAGCGGCCGAUAUCAGAUUAGGUAGUUGGUGGGGUAAAGGCUCACCAAGCCGACGAUCUGUAGCUGGUCUGAGAGGACGACCAGCCACACUGGGACUGAGACACGGCCCAGACUCCUACGGGAGGCAGCAGUGGGGAAUUUUGGACAAUGGGCGCAAGCCUGGUCCAGCAAUGCCGCGUGCAGGACGAAGGCCUUCGGGUUGUAAACUGCUUUUGUACGGAGCGAAACGGCUCUCUCUAAUAAAGGGAGCUAAUGACGGUACCGUAAGAAUAAGCACCGGCUAACUACGUGCCAGCCGCCGCGGUAAGAC
rnacentral:rRNA from 1 species